GAUGCUGCUGCUGCUGUUGCUGAGGAGGUGAAGAAGAACAACCAUGUAGUAAGAAAUUUGGAGAAGCGUCAACAGAUUUGCACCCUUGACCAGCAUAUUGAAGAGCAAUUUGGUGGUGGUCGUCUAUUGGCUUGUAUCUCAUCACGACUUGGACAGUGGCUGUGCUGAUGGGAUGGGAAAACAUUGGACAAUGAGUUGGAGGUUGUUGAGGGAAUGAAGCUAGACAGGGGCUACAUAUCCCCUUAUUUCAUCACCAACCAGAACAAUCAGAAAUGUGAAUUGAAAAAUCCUCUAAUCAUAAUCCAUGAGAAGAAAAUCUCAAGUAUUAAUGAUGUGGUUAAAGUAUUGGAGUUGGUUUUGCAAUUAUGAUUUCAGAUCUGUAGAUAACCUGUUGUUGCUGAUAUUGCUACACGGGAGGAGAAUAGAACAGCUUGGAAAAUGUGCAAGAAGGGAGAGCUAACUCAUACAAUGAAGAACAAAUUGAUGAAGUUAAGAUCAAAUUAGUAGAAUUUGUGAGCUCUCCAUUAUUUAUAAUUAUAGGUAGGAAGUAUGUAUGUAAUAGAGCAAAGAUUGGUUGACUAUGUAAUAACAAUUGAAUUGUCAAGUUUUAUGAAAGAAAUAAUUUUUGCUUCU